UACAUGGGGUGCAAACGUUGCUCGGAAUUAUUGGGCGUAAAGCGCGCGUAGGCGGUUACUCAAGUCGGAUGUGAAAGCCCUCGGCUUAACCGAGGAAGUGCACCCGAAACUGAGUAGCUAGAGUACUAAAGAGGGUCGCGGAAUUCCCGGUGUAGAGGUGAAAUUCGUAGAUAUCAGGAGGAACACCGGUGGCGAAGGCGGCGACCUGGGUAGAUACUGACGCUGAGGCACGAAAGCGUGGGGAUCAAACAGG
rnacentral:rRNA from 1 species